rnacentral:rRNA from 1 species
CGACCGCUGGCGGCGUGCUUAACACAUGCACGUCGACCGGCAAGGCCCUGCUUGCAGGGUACUCGAGUGGCGAACGGGUGAGUAACACGUGGGUGAUCUGCCCUGCACUUCGGGAUAAGCCUGGGAAACUGGGUCUAAUACCGGAUAGGAGCCAUUUUUAGUGUGAUGGUUGGAAAGUUUUUUCGGUGUAGGAUGAGCUCGCGGCCUAUCAGCUUGUUGGUGGGGUAAUGGCCUACCAAGGCGGCGACGGGUAGCCGGCCUGAGAGGGUGGACGGCCACAUUGGGACUGAGAUACGGCCCAGACUCCUACGGGAGGCAGCAGUGGGGAAUAUUGCACAAUGGGCGCAAGCCUGAUGCAGCGACGCCGCGUGGGGGAUGACGGCCUUCGGGUUGUAAACUCCUUUCGCUAGGGACGAAGCUUUUUGUGACGGUACCUAGAUAAGAAGCACCGGCUAACUACGUG